AUGUGUUGAAGUCAAAGAUAAUACUGGAUUUUUGUUCGACCUUAUACUUUUCUGCUGAAGCUCCAUAACGGUCAACACGUAUAAUACCUCUCUGGGAACCUAUUUAUGCAUUCAUGAAGGAUGAAACCCGAAGGUGAGGAACAGAGAAAAAGUCAUAUCUUGGGAUAUGGAUCGUUCGUUCGUUGGCUUAAUCAAGUAAACUGAUUUGUAGAACUGCUGCAGCUGUUUUUUUGUGAGAUACUAUCUUUUCGACAUCGCUGAUGGAGAACAAGUACUGGCUGUUGUCAACAAUAGCCUUUAUCAGCCCGUUUGUCAAAGGACAAGGAGCUAUCGCCACAUUGAGGGUGCCCUCGAUCAUCGCUUGCCGUUCUUCCUCGAGAGUCUUCGUCAGGGAUGUCUUAUCGACUUCUCGAAAUCGUGCAACAUGAUGUUCAAACUGAGCCACCUCUUUUGGAAAGCUUGCUAGGACGCCUACAUUACAGUUCGGUACAACAGAGCAGGUAUAUGUGCUGGCGUCAAGUCCUUCAACUACUGACGCCGUGCUCCUUGUGCUCCUUGUACCUCAACAUUCCAGUCUCAAUAACAGUAAUAUAUUUAGCUGAAAUUGAACAUACAGAAGCCUCUGUUAAAGCUCUUGGUAUCUCGUCUCUGAAGUUCGUGGAACAAUUGCUGCAGCAAACAUCUGCACCACUGUAUGGAGAAGAAACACCUGUAAAUAAACAAGGACAUCAAAACGUAAGGACUCUGCAACAGUGACAUCUGUUCAAUCUAAAUGUCUCCGCGAAUGGACUGGAGGUUGAGUUUUUUCUUUUGACGAAGAUAAUACAGACACAAUCUUCGCCGUCUCUUCCACUACGCCCUGGGUACGGUCCACAAGUUAGUCCGCGAUAAUGAAAAUGACUGUACAGACCUUUCUCUUCUCUUUCAACAUUUCCGGAGAAACAAGUGGUGAGACGACAAUCCCGAUGAAGUUAUCUGCACGAUAAACUUUCUUCAUACCCAGUACCAUUGCUAUGAAAAUUAGAGACUUCCCGCUUCCUGAGAAUAGGAGUGGAUUCGUGGGAGGAGGAAAUUGCCGCCGACCUGAAAUUCCGUACGGGAACUGGACAGGAUUGAAACGAGUGCAACUAAAAAGUCGUGCAUUGACAAGAUCUCUGUAAAUAAGUUAUUUAUCGGUUCAGGAUUUUGAUAUUUCAAGUCUUGUUGACUGUCUUGCUGAGACGGCCACGGUCUGACCGUAUUGCUGAGAUUAUCAACACCAUCGACACAAGACAGCAUCUCGAAAAGUGAAGUUUGAUAUAGCCACAAGACCUGAUCAGAUGCAGAAUGAACUACUCAAUGACGGUUCGAGGAGUCAACGCAAAAACUGUACCUCUCAAUUCAACGGGGAUUUUACAUCCUAUUGUUCGAAGAGUAGUGCAAUACCUACAUCAGAAUAGUGCAAUACCUACAUCAUCUACGCGCUUUUGUAUUUGUUUGCACAGUGUUUGGUGUAAAGAUCUUUUUACCACUGUAUGAUCCUGUAAUAUGACUCAGAUUACGGAUAAAAUAAAAAAGAUGUUGCAUGACCUUUAAUAGUUUAUACCUAGCUGAUAUGGAACCAAAUAUUUACUUUUAAACUACUACAAAAUCUAGUUCUUUGAAGCGCUGAGGCAUCCGUAUAUUUUCGUUAAUUUAUGAUGCAGAUGAAUUUUAGUUGUGUUAUCUAUCAUCUCCAGGAUACCAAUUGUACAAGUUUUAAUUAUAUGUUGUCCAUUCUGUAAAUAUUGUUGAUUGUGACUAAAAUUAUGGCUUUACGGAUUUAAUUUGGAAUAUUUGUUCUGAUUAUAAUACUAAUUUUGAUGUCCUGCACAGCAGAUCGAAGCAUUUUUAAUUUAUUUACUAUUUCUAUUA